rnacentral:rRNA from 1 species
AUUGAACGCUGGCGGCAGGCCUAACACAUGCAAGUCGAGCGAGCGGCGGACGGGUGAGUAAUGUAUGGGGACUGCCCGAUAGAGGGGGAUAACUACUGGAAACGGUGGCUAAUACCGCAUACUAUCGGAUAACCCAUAUGGGAUUAGCUAGUAGGUGGGGUAAAGGCUCACCUAGGCGACGAUCUCUAGCUGGUCUGAGAGGAUGAUCAGCCACACUGGGACUGAGACACGGCCCAGACUCCUACGGAGGCAGCAGUGGGGAAUAUUGGGCAAUGGGCGCAAGCCUGACCCAGCAACGCCGCGUGAAGGAAGACGGUCUUCGGAUUGUAAACUUCUUUAGACAGGGACGCGGUACCUGUAGAAUAAGCCACGGCUAACUACGUGCCAGCAGCCGCGGUAAUAC